AAACAAAACAGUGUUUAUAGGAUUGUUUUUAGGGGGUUUUUCGUGGUUAAAUUUAUGUCUGCUAUUAAAACGUCAAAGUCUGCCACGUUUGUAAUAUCAAAUGUAGGAAUGACUGAAACAGCUGAUGGACCCAGAGGCGAGACUUAGACUGCCAGGGCUAGAGUAUAAUACGUGUACGGCCAGUUCUACUCCACUCUAUAGUCCGGACCUUAGGUACGAGGAGCCGCACAUCUCCAGACGACAGUAGACGGAUUCAGUGGAAACAAAUACAUUGAUAAGAUGGCCCGCGCCCCGAUGUUGUUGCUGCUGUUGGCCUGUGUCGUCUGUCUGACGUCCGCCCAGUACCUGGUGUUCACUGAAGUGUACAGCUGUAUGAUGGAGACUAACAGUCGCCUUCACAACUGCAUUCAUGCACCGGUAUGUCUGUCGGACUCGUGCAAAAUUGAGUGCUACAAAAGGAACUACAUGCGCCUCCAAUUCUGCAUUACAGGUGAAAAAUGAGCUACUUGUUUGUGGUGGCAGACUCAACAGGAAUAUUUCCAAUACACCGAUUUGUUUAGAUAUGUUUUGCUUUAAGAAGUCGCUGUGACAAUUUACAAACUUUAAGAUAAUACAGCUUAAUAUUUUAGUGGGGAGCUUGUUUCAGUGGCUUUGGCCCAAGAACAAAACUGUUACUGUUUGUGAUUACUGGUACAGUAGUAAGAAAAGGACCUGCCUCAAUCAAAUCUGGCCUUGCUGAUGAAAGCUGGAGGUCAAACAUUAUUCUUCAAACGAGAACAGAACACUGGAAAAUGCCGGUAGUACGAAGAAUUGAGGCAGAGCAAAUGGAGCAGGUUCUGUUACAAAAUAAUGUAUAAUCAUACACAUCAACAAAUAAAACACAGUCUUGUACUUCUUUGAGCAUGUUACAAAGUUUAUUGACAAGGUAUGGACUAUGUGAAAUCAUUUCUGACAUAUCAACAAAGAAAAAACAUUGCUUUAACAUACAGCAACAAGCAUGUAACGUUCAUCCUCUACCACCAGUCACCAGGGCUUAACAAAACACUGACCAGGGGAUGUAGUGGUCAACACUGACCAGGGGAAGUAGUGGUCAACACUGACCAGGGGAUGUAGUAGUCAACACUGACCACCAGGCACUGGUCAACAUUCAGUAAAACUUUCAUUAAAAGCUGGUCAUAUAUAAAAUAAUCCUGUUAUAGUUAGCACUACAUACAUCAGCUGUAGACAACUUGACCAGGUCAGGAACAACUCCAGUGUUUAGGGACGAUCCUUACCUUUACCAUAAGGUUUCUAUGUUGAAAGUAAAAUUACCCACUUAAUUUUUUAUUUAAACAAAACACCUUUUAUGACUUUUCUUAAAAUAAAAAAUUCCUUUUCAGAUGUAGAAACGUAUUGAAAAAGAAAACUGUUUCACCAAAAUUUGUGUUCUUUUUAUUAUUGACAGUUAAAAUUGAAUAAAAAAAAUUGUUCAUCAUUUCAUCAUCAAGUGGUUACUAUUUUAGCAUAGAAACUAUGAAGAAAUAUCUGGAGCUGCUCUCAACCUGUUUGUACAUAACACAUAUUGCUACAAAUACAAGGCAGGUGUAUAUAUGAUAUUUUCCACCAGUUAUAUAAAAUGUACAUAGAGGUAAAAGAGGACUGAGUAUGAAGUAGGAGGACCAGGCAGGAAGACCAGUAUCUCUAUCAUCAGGACAAACAAAACCAGGUGAUCAGCUAGUUAUACAAUAAGCUGAGAUACUUAACAGGUGGCACUAUAGACAGGCAGCACAUAUUAUACUGGUCCUCAAUUACAUAGACAAAUGGUCCUUCUAGGCAGGAAGACUAUUCAAACAAGUGGUCCUUCUAGACAGUUAAAACAUACAUAUGAAAGGUUCUUCUGACAGGUAUAUUAUAAAUAUAUUUAUACAAAAGGUCCUUCUAGCCUUGUAAACUAUACAAACAAGAGGUCCUUCUAGACAGGUAAACAUACAUGUAUAAGUCCUACUCGCAAGGUAAGUUAUACAAACAAGAGGUCUUUCUAUACAGGCAAACAUACAUGUACAAUGUAUGUCCUACUAGCAAGGUAAGUAAUACAAACAAGAGGUCCUUCUAUACAGGUAAGCAUACAUGUACAAUGUAUGUCCUACUAGCAAGGUAAACCAUACAAACAAGAGGUCCUUCUAUACGGGUAAACAUACAU